CCUACGGGGGGCAGCAGUGAGGAAUAUUGGUCAAUGGCCGUAAGGCUGAACCAGCCAAGUCGCGUGAAGGAAGAAGGAUCUAUGGUUUGUAAACUUCUUUUAUAGGGGAAUAAAGGUAUCCACGUGUGGAUAUUUGCAUGUACCCUAUGAAUAAGCAUCGGCUAACUCCGUGCCAGCAGCCGCGGUAAUACGGAGGAUGCGAGCGUUAUCCGGAUUUAUUGGGUUUAAAGGGUGCGCAGGCGGAAGAUCAAGUCAGCGGUAAAAUUGAGAGGCUCAACCUCUUCGAGCCGUUGAAACUGGUUUUCUUGAGUGAGCGAGAAGUAUGCGGAAUGCGUGGUGUAGCGGUGAAAUGCAUAGAUAUCACGAGGAACCCCGAUUGCGAAGGCAGCCUGCCGGGGUGCGACUGACGCUGAGGCUCGAAGGUGCGGGUAUCAAACAGGAUUAGAUACCCCAGUAGUC
rnacentral:rRNA from 1 species